GACGAACGCUGGCGGCGUGCCUAAUACAUGCAAGUCGAACGGAGUGGCGCACGGGUGAGUAAUAUAUAGCUAAUCUGCCCCUUGCUGGAGGACCACCGUUAGAAAUGACUGCUAAUACUCCAUAGAAAGGGAUGAGACUAUAUCGUAUCAGCUAGUCGGUGGGGUAACGGCCUACCGAGGCGAUGACGCGUAACUGGUCUGAGAGGAUGAUCAGUCAAAUUGGAACUGAGACAGGGUCCAAACUCCUACGGGAGGCAGCAGUAGGGAAUAUUGCGCAAUGGGGGUAACCCUGAAGGAGCAUCGCCGCGUGGAGGAUGACACUUUGCGGAGAGUAAACUCAUUUUGUUAGGGAAGCGGUACCUAACGAAUAAGCACCGGCUAACUCCGUGCCAGCAGCCGCGGUAAUUC
rnacentral:rRNA from 1 species